CGCCUCUUGCAAAACGAACGAAUAAGAGGUCCCGCCUGCCCUGUGACUAUAUGUUUAACGGCCGCGGUAUUUUGACCGUGCGAAGGUAGCGCAAUCACUUGUCUUUUAAAUGGAGACCUGUAUGAAAGGCACCACGAGGGCUUAGCUGUCUCCCCUUUGAGGUCAGUGAAAUUGAUCUCCCCGUGCAGAAGCGGGGAUACGCUCGUAAGACGAGAAGACCCUAUGGAGCUUAAGAUAUAAAGCGACCCAAGUCAAGCACCCCGCCAAGGGAACAGAACAAUAUGGGCCCCGCUGAAAUAUCUUCGGUUGGGGCGACCGCGGGGAAAGACAAAACCCCCACAUGGACUGGGGCCAUAACAACCUCAAAACCUAGACCCACAGGUCAAAGCAACAGUACUUCUGACCACCAAAGAGCCGGCAAAGCCGAUCGACGGACCGAGUUACCCUAGGGAUAACAGCGCAAUCCCCUCCCAGAGCCCUUAUCGACAAGGGGGUUUACGACCUCGAUGUUGGAUCAGGACAUCCUAAUGGUGCAGCCGCUAUUAAGGGUUCGUUUGUUCAACGAUUAACAGUCCUACGU
rnacentral:rRNA from 1 species